ACGAACGCUGGCGGCGUGCUUAACACAUGCAAGUCGAACGGAAAGGCCCUGCUUUUGUGGGGUGCUCGAGUGGCGAACGAGUGAGUAACACGUGAGUAACCUGCCCUUGACUUUGGGAUAACUUCAGGAAACUGGGGCUAAUACCGGAUAGGAGCUCCUGCUGCAUGGUGGGGGUUGGAAAGUUUCGGCGGUUGGGGAUGGACUCGCGGCUUAUCAGCUUGUUGGUGGGGUAGUGGCUUACCAAGGCUUUGACGGGUAGCCGGCCUGAGAGGGUGACCGGCCACAUUGGGACUGAGAUACGGCCCAGACUCCUACGGGAGGCAGCAGUGGGGAAUAUUGCACAAUGGGCGGGAGCCUGAUGCAGCAACGCCGCGUGCGGGAUGACGGCCUUCGGGUUGUAAACCGCUUUCGCCUGUGACGAAGCGUGAGUGACGGUAAUGGGUAAAGAAGCACCGGCUAACUACGUG
rnacentral:rRNA from 1 species